rnacentral:rRNA from 1 species
CCGGAAACGGAGAGUAAUCCUGUAUACGCCCUUUGGGGGAAAGGUUUAUCGGAGAAGGAUCGGCCCGCGUUAGAUUAGGUAGUUGGUGGGGUAACGGCCUACCAAGCCUACGAUCUAUAGCUGGUUUUAGAGGAUGAUCAGCAACACUGGGACUGAGACACGGCCCAGACUCCUACGAGAGGCAGCAGUGGGGAAUUUUAGACAAUGGGGGCAACCCUGAUCUAGCCAUGCCGCGUGAGUGAUGAAGGCCUUAGGGUCGUAAAGCUCUUUCGCCUGUGAUGAUAAUGACAGUAGCAGGUAAAGAAACCCCGGCUAACUCCGUGCCAGCAGCCGCGGUAAUACGGAGGGGGUUAGCGUUGUUCGGAAUUACUGGGCGUAAAGCGCGCGUAGGCGGAUUAGAAAGUUGGGGGUGAAAUCCCGGGGCUCAACCUCGGAACUGCCUCCAAAACUGCUAGUCUAGAGUUCGAGAGAGGUGAGUGGAAUUCCGAGUGUAGAGGUGAAAUUCGUAGAUAUUCGGAGGAACACCAGUGGCGAAGGCGGCUCACUGGCUCGAUACUGACGCUGAGGUGCGAAAGUGUGGGGAGCAAACAGGAUUAGAUACCCUGGUAGUCCACACCGUAAACGAUGAAUGCCAGUCGUCGGGUAGUAUACUAUUCGGUGACACACCUAACGGAUUAAGCAUUCCGCCUGGGGAGUACGGUCGCAAGAUUAAAACUCAAAGGAAUUGACGGGGGCCCGCACAAGCGGUGGAGCAUGUGGUUUAAUU